UUGUUGCAGUUAAAAAGCUCGUAGUUGGAUUUCUGGUCGGAGCGAUCGGUCCGCCUCAUUCGGGGUGUGUACUUUGUGUCGCCUCCAGCCAUCCUUGAGGCGAGCUGUCCUGGCAUUGAGUUGUUGGGGCAGGGAACCUCAUCUUUUACUGUGAAAAAAUUAGAGUGUUUAAAGCAGGCUUACGCCGUUGAAUACAUUAGCAUGGAAUAAUAAGAUAGGACUUUGGUGGUCUAUUUUGUUGGUUUGCACACCGAAGUAAUGAUUAAGAGGGAUAGUUGGGGGUAUUCGUAUUUAAUUGUCAGAGGUGAAAUUCUUGGAUUUCUGAAAGACGAACUACUGCGAAAGCAUUUACCAAGGAUGUUUUCAUUAAUCAAGAACGAAAGUUAGGGGAUCGAAGAUGAUUAGAUACCAUCGUAGUCUUAACCAUAAACUAUGCCGACUCGGGAUUGGCGGGCGUUAACUUUAUGACUCCGUCAGCACCGUAUGAGAAAUCAAAGUCUUUGGGUUCCGGGGGGAGUAUGGUCGCAAGGCUGAACUUAAAGGAAUUGACGGAAGGGCACCACCAGGAGUGGAGCCUGCGGCUUAAUUUGACUCAACACGGGGAAACUUACCAGUCCAGACAUAGUGAGG
rnacentral:rRNA from 1 species